CAGUAACCAAAAUCCCUGCCCAACAUCAUCUUUGUUUCAGAAAGUCUGAUUAGUUAACAUAUUCCAUCACCUUGGGAAGAAAGCUGAGACAUCUAAAAUCUGGUGACUGGGCAGAAGAAGCUGGACUAAGUUCAGUCUGUUAAAAGCAGAAGACGCAAAUUAUGAAGGGAAACUGCACUGCUGAAAGAAAGACAUUUUAGGCAGUUCUGAAGACCUGGGGCAGCACUAGUCCUGUCAUAAAGAGAAAUUAAUGUUGUUAAAGAUGGCCUAGCUGCCCUCUGGGACAGCUGAAGAUGUGAAAAUAUAAGGUUCUGUUUUAAAGAUGAAAAUGAUUAAAGGCACAGAC
rnacentral:lncRNA from 1 species